rnacentral:tRNA from 2 species
GCCCCUGUAGUCUAGCCCGGUCAAGGAUUUUGGCCUUUCGAGCCGAAGACGUGGGUUCAAAUCCCGCCGGGGGCA